rnacentral:tRNA from 1 species
GGCUCAGCCAGUAGAGCACAUGACUCUUGAUCUUGAGUCUGUGAGUUCAAGUCCCAC